rnacentral:rRNA from 1 species
CCUACGGGAGGCAGCAGUAGGGAAUAUUGCUCAAUGAGGGAAACCCUGAAGCAGCAACGCCGCGUGGAGGAUGAAGGUUUUCGGAUUGUAAACUCCUUUUGUUAGAGAAGACAAUGACGGUAUCUAACGAAUAAGCACCGGCUAACUCCGUGCCAGCAGCCGCGGUAAUACGGAGGGUGCAAGCGUUACUCGGAAUCACUGGGGUGAAAGAGCUCGUAGGCGGGAUAGCAAGUCAGAUGUGAAAUCCUAUGGCUUAACCAUAGAACUGCAUUUGAAACUGGUAUUCUAGAGUAUGGGAGAGGUAGGUGGAAUUCUUGGUGUAGGGGUAAAAUCCGUAGAGAUCAAGAGGAAUACUCAUUGCGAAGGCGACCUGCUAGAACAUAACUGACGCUGAGGCGCGAAAGCGUGGGGAGCAAACAGGAUUAGAUACCCCAGUAGUC